GUUAGAAUAGCUUAAUGAUUAAAGUAUAAUAUUGAAGAUAUUAAGAUAAGUAAAAUACUUUUCUAAUA
rnacentral:tRNA from 1 species